UACAGAGGGUGCAAGCGUUGUUCGGAAUUAUUGGGCGUAAAGCGCGUGUAGGUGGCCACGCAAGUCAGGUGUGAAAGCCCAGGGCUCAACCCUGGAAGUGCACAUGAUACUACGUGGCUGGAGUACUGAAGAGGAGAGCGGAAUUCCCGGUGUAGAGGUGAAAUUCGUAGAUAUCGGGAGGAACACCAGUGGCGAAGGCGGCUCUCUGGGCAGAUACUGACACUGAGACGCGAAAGCGUGGGUAGCAAACAGG
rnacentral:rRNA from 1 species